UUCCUACGGGGCGCAGCAGUGAGGGAUAUUGGUCAAUGGGGGAAACCCUGAACCAGCAACGCCGCGUGAGGGAAGACGGUUUUCGGAUUGUAAACCUCUGUCCUCUGUGAAGAUAAUGACGGUAGCAGAGGAGGAAGCUCCGGCUAACUACGUGCCAGCAGCCGCGGUAAUACGUAGGGAGCGAGCGUUAUCCGGAUUUAUUGGGUUUAAAGGGUGCGUAGGCGGACUGGAAAGUCAGCGGUAAAAUCGAGAGGCUCAACCUCUUUCCGCCGUUGAAACUGUCGGUCUUGAGUGGGCGAGAAGUA
rnacentral:rRNA from 1 species